UGGGGAAUAUUGCACAAUGGGCGAAAGCCUGAUGCAGCGACGCCGCGUGAGGGAUGACGGCCUUCGGGUUGUAAACCUCUUUCAGUAGGGACGAAGCGCAAGUGACGGUACCUGCAGAAGAAGCACCGGCUAACUACGUGCCAGCAGCCGCGGUAAUACGUAGGGUGCGAGCGUUGUCCGGAAUUACUGGGCGUAAAGAGCUCGUAGGCGGUUUGUCACGUCGUCUGUGAAAUCCUAGGGCUUAACCCUGGACGUGCAGGCGAUACGGGCUGACUUGAGUACUACAGGGGAGACUGGAAUUUCUGGUGUAGCGGUGGAAUGCACAGAGAUCAGGAAGAACACCGAUGGCGAAGGCAGGUCUCUGGGUAGUAACUGACGCUGAGGAGCGAAAGCAUGGGUAGCGAACAGG
rnacentral:rRNA from 1 species